GAUCCUGCUCAGGAUGAACGCUAGCGACAGGCUUAACACAUGCAAGUCGAGGGGCAGCAUGAUUUGUAGCAAUACAGAUUGAUGGCGACCGGCGCACGGGUGAGUAACGCGUAUGCAACUUACCUAUCAGAGGGGGAUAGCCCGGCGAAAGUCGGAUUAAUACCCCAUAAAACAGGGGUCCCGCAUGGGAAUAUUUGUUAAAGAUUCAUCGCUGAUAGAUAGGCAUGCGUU
rnacentral:rRNA from 1 species